rnacentral:rRNA from 1 species
UGGGGAAUAUUGGACAAUGGGGGCAACCCUGAUCCAGCAAUGCCGCGUGAGUGAUGAAGGCCUUAGGGUUGUAAAGCUCUUUCGGCGGGGACGAUGAUGACGGUACCCGCAGAAGAAGCCCCGGCUAACUUCGUGCCAGCAGCCGCGGUAAUACGAAGGGGGCGAGCGUUGUUCGGAUUUACUGGGCGUAAAGGGCGCGCAGGCGGCCUUAGUAGUCAGGCGUGAAAGCCCCGGGCUUAACCUGGGAAUUGCGCUUGAUACUCUGAGGCUAGAGUACGGGAGAGGAGAGUGGAAUUCCCAGUGUAGAGGUGAAAUUCGUAGAUAUUGGGAAGAACACCGGUGGCGAAGGCGGCUCUCUGGACCGUAACUGACGCUGAGGCGCGAAAGCGUGGGGAGCAAACAGGAUUAGAUACCCCCGUAGUCC